rnacentral:tRNA from 1 species
GCGAGCGUCGUAUAAUGGUAAUACCCGAGCUUCCCAAGCUCGUGCCGGGGGUUCAAUUCCCCUCGCUCGCUCUA